ensembl:ncRNA Y69E1A.10 ncRNA
ACUGAUAAAAUCAGAAAAAAACACCCGUGAAAAUUUUGUUUUUUUACGGGCAACAACACUCACGUGUGAUAGCUACAAAGGUGGCAAUAUCCCGGCAUUUGGCUCCAGCUCUCAAGUUUGGUUUAAAAAAAUGGAGCAACAAUUGACAACACUUGGGCAAGGUUUUGUUAAGGCUUCUCCCAAGCUUAUGCCAAGUUAGACCCAAUUCUUGCGAAUUUCUUAAC